UACAGAGGGGGCAAGCGUUGUUCGGAAUUACUGGGCGUAAAGGGCGCGUAGGCGGCCUUCUAAGUCGAACGUGAAAUCCCUGGGCUCAACCCAGGAACUGCGUCCGAUACUGGAAGGCUUGAAUCCGGGAGAGGGAUGCGGAAUUCCAGGUGUAGCGGUGAAAUGCGUAGAUAUCUGGAGGAACACCGGUGGCGAAGGCGGCAUCCUGGAC
rnacentral:rRNA from 1 species